GGGGAGAUAUCUUAGUGGUGGAGCAUGUGCUUGGCAUGUACUAGAUCCUGGGUUCAAUCCCCAGUACCUCCG
rnacentral:tRNA from 1 species